CUGCUAUCGGAUUGAUACUAAGCCAUGCGAGUCAUUGUAGCAAUACAAGGCAUACGGCUCAGUAACGCGUAGUCAACCUAACCUAUGGACGGGAAUAACCUCGGGAAACUGAGAAUAAUGCCCGAUAGAACAUUAUGCCUGGAAUGGUUUAUGUUCCAAAUGAUUUAUCGCCGUAGGAUGGGACUGCGGCCUAUCAGUUUGUUGGUGAGGUAAUGGCCCACCAAGACUAUUACAGGUACGGGCUCUGAGAGGAGUAGCCCGGAGAUGGGUACUGAGACACGGACCCAGGCCCUAUGGGGCGCAGCAGGCGAGAAAACUUUGCAAUGUGCGAAAGCACGACAAGGUUAAUCCGAGUGGUUUCUGCUAAAGGAACCUUUUGUCAGUCCUAGAAACACCGAUGAAUAAGGGGUGGGCAAGUUCUGGUGUCAGCCGCCGCGGUAAAACCAGCACCUCAAGUGGUCAGGAUGAUUAUUGGGCCUAAAGCAUCCGUAGCCGGCUCUGUAAGUUUUCGGUUAAAUCUGUACGCUCAACGUACAGGCUGCCGGGAAUACUGCAAAGCUAGGGAGUGGGAGAGGUAGACGGUACUCGGUAGGAAGGGGUAAAAUCCUUUGAUCUAUUGAUGACCACCUGUGGCGAAGGCGGUCUACCAGAACACGUCCGACGGUGAGGGAUGAAAGCUGGGGGAGCAAACCGGAUUAGAUACCCGGGUAGUCCCAGCUGUAAACCAUGCAAACUCAGUGAUGCAUUGGCUUGUGGCCAAUGCAGUGCUGCAGGGAAGCCGUUAAGUUUGCCGCCUGGGAAGUACGUACGCAAGUAUGAAACUUAAAGGAAUUGGCGGGGGAGCACCACAAGGGGUGAAGCCUGCGG
rnacentral:rRNA from 1 species